UAUUAUUGUGUCCAAAGGCGUCGAUAUUAAAGUGACGUCUGGGACUAAAUACCGAUAACCCGACGCUAACCUACAGACGCUAUAACAAUCUACCAUACCACAAACCCGCGUAACCUACCGGUCUAUGCCUAUGGUAUUCGCCCUUCUGCGUUUUGAAUGUUUUGAUUGUUUUACUUCUACCGAUCCAGUCCUUUGCACGAAUUUGCGCCUAACACACGCCCAGGUCACCCAGCGUCCCGUGAUUUUUGUAUUAUACGGUAAUUUCACGGUACCACAAACGACUGAAAACGAACCACCUUUUUGUUGUUAGCCGCUGUUGCCGUGACUGUCGUUUUGAAGACUUCCAACAAUUACCGAUUUACCUGGCCUAUAAUAAUUUAAAAAAAAAAAAAUGAAGAAUUUUCUUCAUGAGAAAAAUAAACUUAAAAAAUUAUAUUUAAAUCAAGAAGCAAGAAUAAUUAAUAUAAGUUCUGAUGAAGAGGAUGAAGAUGGUCAAUCUGUUACAAUCAAUAUUACACCUUCAGGAGAAAUUGACCUAAUCGAUAUAGAUACAGAUACAGAUACAGAUGAU